rnacentral:rRNA from 1 species
GGCCCCGCACAAGCGGCGGAGCAUGCGGAUUAAUUCGAUGCAACGCGAAGAACCUUACCUGGGUUUGACAUAUACCGGAAACGUCUAGAGAUAGGCGCCCCGUAAGGUCGGUAUACAGGUGGUGCAUGGCUGUCGUCAGCUCGUGUCGUGAGAUGUUGGGUUAAGUCCCGCAACGAGCGCAACCCUCGUCCAAUGUUGCCAGCGGAUAAUGCCGGGGACUCAUUGGAGACCGCCGGGGUCAACUCGGAGGAAGGUGGGGAUGACGUCAAGUCAUCAUGCCCCUUAUGUCCAGGGCUUCACGCAUGCUACAAUGGCCGGUACAAAGAGCUGCAAACCUGCAAGGGUGAGCGAAUCUCAAAAAGCCGGUCUCAGUUCGGAUUGGGGUCUGCAACUCGACCCCAUGAAGUAGGAGUCGCUAGUAAUCGCAGAUCAGCAACGCUGCGGUGAAUACGUUCCCGGGGCUU